AUGAUUCUCCAAUCACUUUUUUAGGGAAAAAAGAAAAAUAUUAUCCAUGAAGUUAAACUCAUUUUUGUAAGUUCACGCAAACAACCAAUCCUCUGCAAAUUCCACCAUUUAUCAUUCUAUUUGCUUUGCGAUAAUUUUGUAUAUCCAGCGGGGGGAGCCGUCCGUUGUUUCUCCCUGUAAAAGGCUCAUGGCAUCGAAGAGGAUCUUAAAGGAGCUCAAGGAUCUACAGAAGGAUCCUCCUACCUCUUGCAGCGCUGAUCGCAGGUUAACUUCCUAAUGACUUAUCCAGUUAUGUGUACUCAGCAUAUUUCAGGUCCUGUUUCUGAGGACAUGUUUCAUUGGCAAGCUACCAUCAUGGGUCCUCCAGAUAGUCCGUAUGCAGGCGGUGUUUUCCUAGUUACCAUUCAUUUUCCUCCAGAUUAUCCUUUCAAACCUCCUAAGCUUUCAGGACAAAAGUUUUCACCCAAAUAUUAACAGCAACGGGAGCAUAUGCCUGGACAUAUUGAAGGAACAGUGGAGCCCUGCACUUACCAUUUCCAAGGUGUUGCUCUCGAUUUGUUCUUUGUUGACGGAUCCAAACCCCGAUGACCCGUUGAUGCCUGAGAUUGCCCAUAUGUAUAAAACGGACAGACCAAGUAUGAGACCACAGCAAGGAGCUGGACACAGAAAUACGCCAUGGGAUGAUCCUGUUUUGGUAUCAUUAUGGCCUUAUAUUUAUUUUAACUACUUAGUGUUUCUUUUUCCUUUUUAAAAAGAUUUAUAAUUGUUAAGUGUGAAAUAGUCUAAUCUGUGUUUCAAUUCCUAAAUAUGGACGUAGUAUAAGGGAAAAGGGAAGACAUACAUGUUACUACUUUGAUAGUGUUGUAUUUAUAUUGAACUUGAAAAGCAUUUACAUCUAUUA